AGCGAACGCUGGCGGCAGGCCUAACACAUGCAAGUCGAACGGAUCCUUCGGGAUUAGUGGCGGACGGGUGAGUAACACGUGGGAACGUGCCCUUUGGUUCGGAACAACUCAGGGAAACUUGAGCUAAUACCGGAUGUGCCCUUCGGGGGAAAGAUUUAUCGCCAUUGGAGCGGCCCGCGUCUGAUUAGCUAGUUGGUGAGGUAAAAGCUCACCAAGGCGACGAUCAGUAGCUGGUCUGAGAGGAUGAUCAGCCACAUUGGGACUGAGACACGGCCCAAACUCCUACGGGAGGCAGCAGUGGGGAAUCUUGCGCAAUGGGCGAAAGCCUGACGCAGCCGUGCCGCGUGGAUGAUGAAGGUCUUAGGAUUGUAAAAUUCUUUCACCGGGGACGAUAAUGACGGUACCCGGAGAAGAAGCCCCGGCUAACUUCGUGCCAGCCGCCGCCGUAA
rnacentral:rRNA from 1 species